AUGGCCACAUCAAAUUGAAACACCGGUUCCCGUAGUUAGUAUCACUGACGUUAAGGAACGACGAGCCUGGUCAGUACCUAGAUGGGUGACCGCUUGUGAAUACCGGGUGCUGUAAG